AUCUAAAAGGAAGCGAAAGAUUCAGAACAGAUGGCGAUGUGAACUGUGAGAUCCACCACAGCGGGAAGGAGGGCAUCAAAGGUGUGAACACAGCUUCCACUGGUGUGCGUCUGAGUGCCAGAAGUAGGGACCAUGCCGGACUGUCAGACUCGUUUGGGGAUGCGACGAGCCCUAACCUUCAUCACGGGCCUGGUGGAGUGUCUUUGUUUUGCAGGCAUCUUAUUUGGGUGGGCCUCACUUGUUUUCGUCCUCAAGAAGGAGGGUUACUUCAACUAUCUGUGUGUCAACAGCACAGGAAUCAAUGGCUCACAGGUUUUAGAUUGCAGUGGACAAGAUGAGCAGCUCUCCCUGGUCUUCACCAUUGCAUCCUUCAUGAAUAAUUUUCUGACAGUCGCAAGUGGUUUCAUUUUCGACCACUUUGGCACAACAGUGGCUCGGCUCUUGGGAAUGUGAGUGCAUCUUGACACAACUUGUUCAGUGCCUUGAUGAAGUUCACUCAGUUUGGGUGAAACGUCGAUAAAUGGAGUUGAAGUCA